UACGGGGGGGGCAAGCGUUGUUCGGAAUUACUGGGCGUAAAGGGCUCGUAGGCGGCCAACUAAGUCGGACGUGAAAUCCCCAGGCUCAACCUGGGAACUGCGUCCGAUACUGGAUGGCUUGAAUCCGGGAGAGGGAUGCAGAAUUCCAGGUGUAGCGGUGAAAUGCGUAGAUAUCUGGAGGAAUACCGGUGGCGGAGGCGGCAUCCUGGACCGGCAUUGACGCUGAGGAGCGAAAGCCAGGGGAGCAAACGGG
rnacentral:rRNA from 1 species